GCGCAGCAGUCGAGAAAACUUCACACUGUGCGAAAGCACGGUGAGGGAAUCCCAAGUGCUUGCACGUAAGUGUAAGCUGUUUCUCUGUCUAAAACGCAGAGAGAGUAAGGGCUGGGUAAGACGGGUGCCAGCCGCCGCGGUAAUACCUGCAGCUCAAGUGGUGACCGUUAUUAUUGGGCCUAAAACGUCCGUAGCCGGUUUAAUAAAUGCCUGGGUAAAUUGUGUGGCUUAACUAUACGAAUUCCGGGUAGACUGUUAAACUUGAGACCGGGAGAAGUUAGAGGUACUCCUGGGGUAGAGGUGAAAUUCUGUAAUCCUAGGGGGACCACCAGUGGCGAAGGCGUCUAACUAGAACGGGUCUGACGGUGAGGGACGAAGCCCUGGGGCGCAAACGGGAUUAGAUACCCGUGUAGU
rnacentral:rRNA from 1 species